rnacentral:lncRNA from 1 species
AAACAUUCAGAGACAGAAGGUGGAUAGACAAAUCUCCACCUUCAGACUGGUAGGCUCCUCCAGAAGCCAUCAGACAGGAAGAUGUGAAAAUCCCCAGCACUCAUCCCAGAAUCACUAAGUGGCACCUGUCCUGGGCCAAAGUCCCAGGACAGACCUCAUUGUUCCUCUGUGGGAAUACCUCCCCAGGAGGGCAUCCUGGAUUUCCCCCUUGCAACCCAGGUCAGAAGUUUCAUCGUCAAGGUUGUUUCAUCUUUUUUUUCCUGUCUAACAGCUCUGACUACCACCCAACCUUGAGGCACAGUGAAGACAUCGGUGGCCACUCCAAUAACAGCAGUCACAGCUGCUCUUCUGGAGGUGUCCUACAGGUGAAAAGCCCAGCGACCCAUCAGGAUUUAAGUUUACCUCAAAAAUGGAAGAUUUUAACAUGGAGAGUGACAGCUUUGAAGAUUUCUGG